CAGUCGCCGCGGGAAUACGUAGGUGGCAAGCGUUGUCCGGAAUUAUUGGGCGUAAAGGGCUCGCAGGCGGUUUCUUAAGUCUGAUGUGAAAGCCCCCGGCUCAACCGGGGAGGGUCAUUGGAAACUGGGAAACUUGAGUGCAGAAGAGGAGAGUGGAAUUCCACGUGUAGCGGUGAAAUGCGUAGAUAUAUGGAGGAACACCAGUGGCGAAGGCGACUCUCUGGUCUGUAACUGACGCUGAGGCGCGAAAGCGUGGGGAGCAAACAGGAUUAGAUACCCCCGUAGUCCCUGUCUCUUAUAC
rnacentral:rRNA from 1 species